rnacentral:rRNA from 1 species
UGGGGAAUAUUGGACAAUGGGGGGAACCCUGAUCCAGCCAUGCCGCGUGUGUGAAGAAGGCCUUAUGGUUGUAAAGCACUUUAAGCGAGGAGGAGGGUACUGGUAUUAAUACUACCAGGUACUGGACGUUACUCGCAGAAUAAGCACCGGCUAACUCUGUGCCAGCAGCCGCGGUAAUACAGAGGGUGCGAGCGUUAAUCGGAUUUACUGGGCGUAAAGCGUGCGUAGGCGGCUAAUUGAGUCGGAUGUGAAAUCCCCGAGCUUAACUUGGGAAUUGCAUUCGAUACUGGUUAGCUAGAGUGUGGGAGAGGAUGGUAGAAUUCCAGGUGUAGCGGUGAAAUGCGUAGAGAUCUGGAGGAAUACCGAUGGCGAAGGCAGCCAUCUGGCCUAACACUGACGC